AGUCGUACGAGGGUUUUUAACCCUAGUGGCGGACGGGUGAGUAACACGUGAGAAUUUACCUUUAGGAGGGGGAUAACAAUCGGAAACGAAUGCUAAUACCCCAUAUGCUUUUGAGUGAAAUGGAUUUAUUCGCCUAAAGAGAAGCUCGCGGCUGAUUAGCUUGUUGGUGAGGUAAAAGCUUACCAAGGCGACGAUCAGUAUCUGGUUUGAGAGGACGAUCAGACACACUGGAACUGAGACACGGUCCAGACUCCUACGGGAGGCAGCAGUGGGGAAUUUUCCGCAAUGGGCGAAAGCCUGACGGAGCAAUACCGCGUGAGGGAAGACUGCCUAUGGGUUGUAAACCUCUUUUUUCAGGGAGGAAAAAAAUGACGUGUACCUGAAGAAUAAGCAUCGGCUAACUCCGUGCCAGCAGCCGCGGUAAGACGGAGGAUGCAAGUGUUAUCCGGAAUCACUGGGCGUAAAGCGUCUGUAGGUGGUUUAAUAAGUCAACUGUUAAAUCUUGAGGCUCAACUUCAAAAUCGCAGUCGAAACUAUUAGACUCGAGUAUAGUAGAGGUAAAGGGAAUUUCCAGUGGAGCGGUGAAAUGCGUAGAUAUUGGAAAGAACACCGAUGGCGAAGGCACUUUACUGGGCUAUUACUAACACUCAGAGACGAAAGCUAGGGUAGCAAAUGGGAUUAGAUACCCCAGUAGUCCUAGCUGUAAACUAUGGAUACUAGAUGUUGAACAGAUCGACCUGUGCAGUAU
rnacentral:rRNA from 1 species